UUUCUCUCAAACUUUACUUACUAGUGGUUAAUUUGGUUGAAUUGUUGAAAUAACAAAACAACUCCAACUACUUUGAAUUUUGAUUGAUGUGUGAUUUACUCUUUUCUCUUCGCGUUCCUUGUCACUGCUCGCGAUUUACUCUUCUCUAUUCAAUUUCCUCGUCAUUGCCUGUGUUCCUCAUUGCUGGCGUCAUUGUUGGCGUCUCCGUCGUGUUCAUCGCUGCUCGCCUCGCCUCGCCGUUGGGUGUUAGAGUUGGCUAGGAAUUCUUUUAGUUCAAUUGAGUUAGCACUAUGUUUUUCGCCAUGCUUCCAAUUACGUUCACUUCUUUUUUUCUGCUUCUCUAUUUGCAAAUUAGGUUUGCUUUCAUAGCUACAAUAUUUGGAAAAUUCUUGGAAGCUUUGUUUUGGUUACAGCUGCCUCAAGCGCUUAAACAUUUGAUGGUUUUUGUGUGCAAUAGCUAUUUCAAUGGUUUUAUCUUGUAAAGUUGUAAACAAUGGUUUGGCUGCUUGAUGGAUUUUGUGUGCAAUAUCUAUUUCAAUGAAAAACUUGUUUUACUACUUCAACUUAUAAAAACUAAUUUAACUUCAA